UCUCUCUCUCUCUCUCUCUCUCUCUCUCUCUCUUCCAAACCACGACAGUUCUGUCUGUCUUUCUUCUCCAAACAAAGUUUCUCUCUUUCUUCUCUAAACAAAGUCAAACUCUCCUCCACCGAAACAUUUCCAACCUCAUCCAUUCAUCUUUCCAAACCAGCUGCUGGAAGAAGAGCCCAUGGAUCCUCUGUCUUCAGAUGGUAUGGAAGAAGACUUACAAUCUAAUCACACAUCUAGUAUCAUUGAAAGCCCCAUUGUCAAUGAGAGCAAGAAAGUUUUUGAAUUUUUUGAAAUGUGGCUCUCUUUAAGGAAGAGCUGGAAGAAGAAAGUCAUAUUAUUUUAGGGGGCUCUCUUCAAUGUACUUGGUCCGGAGGAUUUUUGUGCAUCAUUCCAUGGACUAUGUUAGGGGACAUAUUAUUUGGUAUUUGGUAGAUGUCAUUAAUAGGGGAUUUGAAUCAGUUGGCGUAGCUUCAACAAUGCAACUAUGUUCAUUGUGGAUUUGAUUGAAUGAGUUGUAUUGAUAUUAUCAUUGGGGCUUAUGCAUUUGUUUUUUUAUCAUUGGCCAACACAAGACCUCAAAACUGGGAAUUUUUGUCUUGAGACAAGAUAACGAACCAUUAUUCAUAAAGGAAGACAGAAAGUUCUGUCGUGGUUUAGAAAAGAGAGAGAGAGAGAGAGAGAGAGAGAGAGAGAGAGAGAGUGGGAG